rnacentral:rRNA from 1 species
GGGGAGUGACACAGUAGGAUAAGCUAACCGUACUGUUGGUUAUGUACGGCUAAGCAUUGAGGCAGUCUAAAUAGGCAAAUCCGUUUAGACAAUGCUAGGAUGUGAUGGGGAAGCCCUUCGGGGCGAAGUAGCUGAUUUCACACUGUCAAGAAAAGCUUCUAUCGAGUUUAAAGGCGCCCGUACCGUAAACCGACACAGGUGGGUGAGGAGAGUAUCCUAAGGCCAGCGAGAGAACUAUUGUUGAGGAACUCGGCAAAAUGACCCCGUAACUUAGGGAGAAGGGGUGCCUGUCUAUGACAGGCCGCAGAGAAUAGGCCCAAGCGACUGUUUACCAAAAACACAGGUUUCUGCUAAGUCGCAAGACGAUGUAUAGGAGCUGACGCCUGCCCGGUGCUGGAAGGUUAAGGGGAUCUGUUAGAGCAAUCGAAGCAGUGAACUUAAGCCCCAGUAAACGGCGGCCGUAACGAUAACGGUCCUAAGGUAGCGAAAUUCCUUGUCGGGUAAGUUCCGACCCGCACGAAAGGCGUAACGAUUUGGGCACUGCCUCAACAAUAGACUCGGUGAAAUUGUAAUCCCGGUGAAGAUGCCGGGUACCUGCGACAGGACGGAAAGACCCCAUGGAGCUUUACUGUAGCUUGACGUUGGGUCUUGGUACUACAUGUACAGGAUAGGUGGGAGACUAUGAAGCAUGGACGCCAGUCUGUGUGGAGUCAUCCUUGGGAUACCACCCUUGUAGUACUGGGAUCCUAACCAUAGGCCUUGAAUCAGGUCUUGGAACACCGUCAGGUGGGCAGUUUGACUGGGGCGGUCGCCUCCUAAAAAGUAACGGAGGCGCUCAAAGGUUUCCUCAGCACGGUCGGAAAUCGUGCGAAGAGUGUAAAGGCGAAAGGAAGCUUGAUUGCAAGACAUACAGGUCGAGCAAGGACGAAAGUCGGACUUAGUGAUCCGGUGGUACCGCAUGGAAGGGCCAUCGCUCAACGGAUAAAAGCUACCCUGGGGAUAACAGGCUUAUCUCCCCCAAGAGUCCACAUCGACGGGGAGGUUUGGCACCUCGAUGUCGGCUCAUCACAUCCUGGGGCUGUAGUAGGUCCCAAGGGUUGGGCUGUUCGCCCAUUAAAGUGGUACGCGAGCUGGGUUCAGAACGUCGUGAGACAGUUCGGUCCCUAUCCGUCGCAGGCGUAGGAAAUUUGAGAAGACCUGUCCUUAGUACGAGAGGACCGGGAUGGACGUACCUCUGGUGUACCAGUUGUUCUGCCAAGGGCAUGGCUGGGUAGCUAUGUACGGAAUGGAUAAGCGCUGAAAGCAUCUAAGCGCGAAGCCAACUUCAAGAUAAGAUUUCCCACCGUAAGGGUAAGACCCCAGGAAGACUACCUGGUUGAUAGGUCGAAGGUGUAAGUGCAGUAAUGUAUUUAGCUUAUCGAUACUAAUAGGUCGAGGACUUGAGC